GUGGAUGUGCGUGACAUUUGGUGCUGAAAACCUGGGACAGGAGGACUCCUUUGGGAGACCAGCCCCCUGUCCUCGCCCUCACUCCAUGAGGAGAUCCACCUACGACCUUGGGUCCUCAGACCAGCCAGCCCAAGGAACAUCUCACCAAUUUCAAAUCGGAUCUCCUUGGCUCAACAGCUGAAGACUGACGCUGCCCAAUCGCUUUGGAAGCUCCGGGACUAUCACGGACCCCGAGCUUCGAGUAACUCUUACAGUGGAGGGGUCUUGCUCCGUCACCUAGGCUGGAAUGCAGUGGUGCG
rnacentral:lncRNA from 1 species